UUACGUUACGCCCUUUCAUGUCAUUUAUCAGUUGACUUUAUUCGCGUUAUUCAUCCGAACGCCUGACGUGCGACCCAUCCAAAAAACGCGACAAUAGCAAAAGUGGAGAAGUGAGUAAUGCAGAUGCAAAACGAAGAAUCAACUCGAAGACCAAACAAAUAGCGAGUGAGAGCGGCAAUCGCUGAAUGAUGAAAUGUAUGAAGAAAGGGGAAGAUCAAGCACAAUAAUACGCAGAGAUCAGAGAAAGGUGCAGUACUGCGUGCGACCAAUUAUUUGACCACACAUUACAAUUCAACAGCUUUCUUCAUCUGUCCAGCUGCAAUCUGCUGUGUAGUAGCGAUAAUUUUACAGUUUGCCAAUCCCAUUUCCAGUGCACCUAUAUGCAAUACAAACCAACGUCAAGCCAGACGUCAGAGGUUAGACGUUAGAAACGUCCCACGCCACCGAAAGUGGCAAAACAGGAAGUAGAAGAUCGACGACGGUCAUUUCACCAGUGGCAAUAUUCACAUCGGCACACCCGCGGCACACCACAUCGUCAUCUAUGCGUCUUUAUAAGUGUCAUCAUCCUCUCAUCUCUUCUGAUUUUUGGAUGUGACAAUAUGGAAUGUGUCUUUCUAUCUUGGAUCUGGGGUCUUAAACUCGCUGACUUGCUUGCUGCCGACUGAUAUCGACAUGCUUAUUUUUCGAUCUAAACGUUUCCGUCCAACAGCUAUAUUCACACUGCAUCGCCAUCAUUUACUUCCCCUUCUCGAGCCCAUCUUGCAAUCAUUAGUCCCACUUCUUUCAUUAUCUAGACGGAAACAACCAUGCGCCACACGUACAUCCAAAUAAUAUGUAAUUUAAACUCAGGUCCUCAUCAAGACGGCUGGGGGGGUAGUGAAAAAGGGAUAUCUUCGCAGGCCAAAAACCUUUCAUCCUUUAUCUAGUUUAUGAGUCAUGAACUAUAAUCGAUUAGAAAGAUGAAUAACCUCG
rnacentral:sRNA from 1 species